UACGUAGGGGCCCAGCGUUGUCCGGAUUUAUUGGGCGUAAAGAGCUCGUAGGCGGUUCGGCAAGUCGGAUGUGAAAUCUCCACGCUCAACGUGGAGGGGUCAUUCGAUACUGCCGUGACUUGAGUACGGUAGGGGAGUGUGGAAUUCCCGGUGUAGCGGUGAAAUGCGCAGAGAUCGGGAGGAACACCCGUAGCGAAGGCGGCACUCUGGGCCGAUACUGACGCUGAGGAGCGAAAGCGUGGGGAGCGAACAGG
rnacentral:rRNA from 1 species